rnacentral:piRNA from 1 species
UGGAAAUUCCAUGCAGUGUUAGUGACAGAU